UACGUAGGGGGCAAGCGUUGUCCGGAAUUAUUGGGCGUAAAGAGCGUGUAGGCGGUCCGGUAAGUCGGCUGUGAAAGUCCAGGGCUCAACCCUGGGAUGCCGGUGGAUACUGUCGGGCUAGAGUGCGGAAGAGGCGAGUGGAAUUCCUGGUGUAGCGGUGAAAUGCGCAGAUAUCAGGAGGAACACCGAUUGCGAAGGCAGCUCGCUGGGACGUAACUGACGCUGAGACGCGAAAGCGUGGGGAGCAAACAGG
rnacentral:rRNA from 1 species